rnacentral:rRNA from 1 species
CAGCAGCCGCGGGAAUACGUAGGGUGCAAGCGUUAAUCGGAAUUACUGGGCGUAAAGCGUGCGCAGGCGGUUAUAUAAGACAGAUGUGAAAUCCCCGGGCUCAACCUGGGAACUGCAUUUGUGACUGUAUAGCUAGAGUACGGCAGAGGGGGAUGGAAUUCCGCGUGUAGCAGUGAAAUGCGUAGAUAUGCGGAGGAACACCGAUGGCGAAGGCGGCCAUCUGGGACAACACUGACGCUGAGGCACGAAAGCGUGGGGAGCAAACAGGAUUAGAUACCCGAGUAGUCCCUGUCUCUUAUAA